ensembl:lncRNA
CUCUGAUGUGUGCUCCCUGCAGCACCCUGCCUGCUCCCAGCACCUAUUCCUGGCUUUGAGUGCAUUAACCACAGCAUGCAGCUUGCCAGUGUGGACUGGGUGUCAUAGAUACAGAACAACUAGAAGCCCCAGAAUUGGACAUGAUACUGCAGGUGGAGUCUCACAAGAGCAGAGCAGAAGGGCAGAAUCAGCUCCAUGGACCUGCUGGUCUCACUUCUCUUGAUGCAAGAUACUUCUUUUGAUACAAGAGAUAGUUGUUGCUAUCAGGGACAUCAGUAUGACUUUACUGAUGAUGACCUGGAAUAUAUGAUUAAUCAUGUUGACGUCUGCAGCAGGGAUGAGAUUUGGAGGCCACUCCUGGAAUACUCAGUAAGGAUCUCCCCUGGCCUAUCAACUGCCCCAAGAUGGAGCUGCAUGCAUUCCAUCUGCUCCUCUGCAUGGAGCAUGACUUCUCCUCACCUUUGCAGCCACCCUUUCCUGAAGAGCCUCUUUUUUCUUUUUCCCAAGUUCAAUUUGUGCAGACUUUGAGCUACUCCCCUUAAGAGGAAUACUGGAAAAGUAACUUGAAAAUAUUUUUAAGACAUUCGGACAAGAGACAGAAUCUCAUAACGUUCUUACUCUUUUAAUUAGAAGUCUUAACUACAUAAGCAAGAAGCUACAGCAAAACUAAGGAAAUGUGCAUGUAAUGUAAAGUAAGUCCUGCAGCUAUGAAGCUAUUUCAUUCUUGGAGGAACUUGAGUCUGGAUAGCCACCAAAGAGGGCAGGUUGUAUUGAUUUUAUGACAUUCACUCCACUAAGGGUUGCUUUGUUUUCAUCAACAAUAGUAUCAGUUAUCCUAAUUUCUGGAAGCAAUGCAAAUGUUUACUCCAAAAGGUAUAAACAUAUAUAAUGUUUACUGUCUUGUAAACCACAAAGAGUUAGUAAAUACAUUUUGUUCCAUACUUUGUUAUCUGUAUAAAGCUACACUGUACAAGGCUGUCAUCUAGGUCAAAGAGAGAGGAACAAUGUGAGAUAAUGAAAAGAGUAGUAAAUACAAGUUAUUACUUAAUAGGCUCAUGUAAUUACCAAGGGUGGGGGUAGAAAAAAAUGGUGUUAUCAGUGGUAAAUAGAAUAAGUAAAAGAAAGGUGGUGGGUUUUUAUUUUGUUUGUUUGUUUGUUUUUAAUUUAAAAAAAAAAUAGAUCUGGGGUUAAAGAUAAUAUUUUUAAUAACUUGUGCAAAAAAUAACAGUUAUGACAGGAUUUGAAAUAAAAAUUGUUUCUAGUCCUUAUGAAACAAAGGUUAGCAGCUAUAAAUGGGGAGGAUGAGAGGAAACGUUUACUAAAGUGCACCAUGUGUAAUCAUCAAGCCUAAAUUACUUAAAUCCAGGAGUCAUAGAAAUCUAUGUAGUCCCAGACCACAAAUAAUUGUAUCAGUAACUAAUAAUAAAUAUUAGUAACAAGAGUUGCACCAAAAAAUUGAGGUUGUAAAAUUCCAGUAUGGGAUGAAGUGAAAAUCAUAAUUUGGGAAUAAUAAUGUAUCAAGAUUAAUGUUUAUUCUAGGUAAGAAAUGAUUGAGUUGGAACUUUAAAUAAGACUGGUUAUUACAAUACUGAUUCUUACAUUACUUGUCUGUUUUGGUGGAAGAUGUCCUCUGAAGCUUUCCUUUCUGUAUUUGUUUGAUCUGACAGACUUGCAGACGUGGUCAAAACUCUCAAAGAGAGUCAGUAUCAUAAUGUCUAUAUUUCUCCAUCAAAUAUGGAGAAAAUCUCUAUUUUGAUUAAAAGCUUUCAUUAUGUUCAUUAACAAAGUAUAUUGCAGAAUAACUCCCUCAGAAAAGGCAAAUUUAAGUUGCUAGUGGGAAAAAUAAGGUACUGGGUUGUUACUGAGGAAUUAAUUUUUAUUGGAGACAUAUACUCCAAUUGGUGGAGUUACGUAUAGAAUUUUCAUUGAAGUUUUCAAAUGAUACAACAUUUGUGAGGUAGAAAAUGAUGAGAAGGAUGAGAUACUGAUGCAGAGCAAGCUAUAAUUCGCACUGAUGACCUAACUGCUCAGUAGCAGCCAUGCAAGUGGAGCAUAUUCCAUGCAUGAGCCCAUCCUCCCUCAGGGCAAAAGUUAGAACUGUAUUAUCUCUUCCUCUCUUCCUCCAGUGCAUCUGGUCUCAAGAAUGACCUGGAGCACUUAAUUAAGUGGCCACAAUUGAAUACUGAAAUGCAUAGUGAUAUGCAUUUCAAAAUGAAGACCACACACUGUGCUUACAAAGUUGGAGCUCCUAUGUUGAAAUACAGUCAGUUAAAAAGAGUUUUAAUGGUUAUUAUGAGUAGUCACACUAUUUAAAUUCAUUUCAGAGUUGAUUCAAGAAAUGCACGCCAAUAAUGAACAAGCUAAAGAAAGAGAGAACCUCGCUAAUUAAAAGAUUCUGCAUUUUUUUACCUAGCUGUUCUAAAAGUACCACAGUUCAAAAGGAAUAUAAAACUGAUCAAGUGGGAAUAAAGAAAAUUCAAGAAACACAUCCAGAAUUCGGAAAAUCAAGCCCUUUGCCAUAAAGAGUUGUCUUAUGAAAGAUGAAGUUGAAAGACUUUCUUUCUCUUCAGAAGUGCUUAUAUAUGGUUGCAUUCAGAAAUUGUGAUGCAUGAAAGUUCUUUCUAUUCAAAGACCAGUAACACAUUAGAGAAAUAUAUUGCUUAAAUGGAGUUAUGGUUUCAUAGUAGUCUGACAGAUGAUGCAGAAAUGCAACUUAUCAUUCAGAAUUUUUGAUGUAGUAGAACAGCUUUGUAAUAUGUGUAGUAUCUAAUUCAACUUUUUGGAAGAAAUCUUCAGCCUGUGUGCACUGAGGGAUCACACUAUAUCUUUGAGGUGGUCUCCUGCACAUUUCUGGGGCAUUUAGCGAUAUUCUUUUUACUCUAAAUACUCUCAUAAAACUUAGCUUGAGAUACCUGUAGCAUUUAUCAGUCAGUCUCAUGCUUCAGAGUUAAUUAGUCAUUGACUAAUCAGAAAUUAAUACUGGUUUAGCCUUCUGCAGGUUUAUUGCUUUGCCCUGAAUUGCUGGAUCUUUCUCCCUUCUGAAGCACUGUAUUGGGGUUGGGUUUGUUUUUGGUUGGUUGGUUUUUUGUUUUCCAGGUGAAGAUAAGAUGAUAAACUGUGGAUUCUGAAGGGUAUUAGAAUUACUGUUCAGCUUGGAUCAGAGUAGAGCAAGCCUUUCUUCAGCAUUCUCUGUGGUCAUAAUGUCAAUCAGUGCCAAAGAGAAAGAGGUGACUGACUGGCUGAUCAAUGAAUAUGCAUGGAUCCUAACAGUAAAGGAGCUCCUGGUGGGCUCUGAGGUGCCUGUUUUUCACUGUUGUAGCAGAAAUGCUAAGUCAUAGCCUGAACCAGUGAUUGAGCACCUGGUGGAAGGCAGGGCCAACCCAGGGGAGCUCAGCUGCAUGUGGAGCACCUGAGUGAUUGGAAGGCAUGGAGCCAGGAUCCACCCCUUCCCAGACUUCAUUUAAGGGUUAGCAGUGGAGGUGAGGAUAUCUUGUUGGAGGUUACUGCUUACUGAAGGUCUUCACAAGUGUAUGCUGGUGGAACAAUACCAAGUUAUCUCUCAAACUUCCAAAGCUGGCUGGAGCUGGAUGUAAGGUUUUUACAAGGUAACCACCAAAAGCAGUAAAGUGAAAGCUACAGAACUGGCAGACAUCGGUAUCUAAUAGCUGGUGUCCUUCCUCCUUUCCUGCUGUUACAUAUGCUCUGUGAAAUGGUGUCAAUGAACAGAAGACAACCAAGCCUGCUUUUUCUUUUCCCAACUCAUCAUACAGUGUACCUUGUCUCACCUCCCAGCAAACUGGACUCCAGAUGGCACCAUCAAUUAAAAGCAAACAAACAUAAUAAAAAACUGUAGAACUGUUCAUCUCUGCCUGUAACUAUAAGGACCCUGACUGGAGUCAGAAAACAACUGGGAAAAAAAAAAAAAGUGGAUAGAGGUAAUGGGCAGACUGGAUUUAAGAUGAAAAGGAAUUAAACA